rnacentral:rRNA from 1 species
CGCCUAACACAUGCAAGUCGAACGAAGUAGCAAUACUUAGUGGCAGACGGGUGAGUAACAUGUAGGUAUCUGCCCUUUGGCCUGGAAUAACACGAGGAAACUUGUGCUAAUACCGGAUAAGUCUUUACGGAGAAAGCUUUAUGCACCAUUGGAUGAGCCUGCACUUGAUUAGUUUGUUGGUGGGGUAAUGGCCUACCAAGACUGUGAUCAAUAGCUGAUUUGAGAGGAUGAUCAGCCACAUUGGGACUGAGACACGGCCCAAACUCCUACGGGAGGCAGCAGUGGGGAAUCUUGCACAAUGGAGGAAACUCUGAUGCAGCGAUGCCGCGUGAGUGAAGAAGGCCCUUGGGUUGUAAAGCUCUUUCGUCGGGGAAGAAAAUGACUGUACCCGAAUAAGAAGGUCCGGCUAACUUCGUGCCAGCAGCCGCGGUAAUACGAAGGGACCUAGCGUAGUUCGGAAUUACUGGGCUUAAAGAGUUCGUAGGUGGUUGAAAAAGUUGGUGGUGAAAUCCCAGAGCUUAACUCUGGAACUGCCAUCAAAACUUUUCAGCUAGAGUAUGAUAGAGGAAAGCAGAAUUUCUAGUGUAGAGGUGAAAUUCGUAGAUAUUAGAAAGAAUACCAAUUGCGAAGGCAGCUUUCUGGAUCAUUACUGACACUGAGGAACGAAAGCAUGGGUAGCGAAGAGGAUUAGAUACCCUCGUAGUCCAUGCCGUAAACGAUGUGUGUUAGACGUUGGAAAUUUAUUUUCAGUGUCGCAGCGAAAGCGAUAAACACACCGCCUGGGGAGUACGAC